rnacentral:rRNA from 1 species
UACAGAGGUCCCAAGCGUUGUUCGGAUUCAUUGGGCGUAAAGCGCACGUAGGCGGGUCGUUAAGUCAGGGGUGAAAUCCUGGAGCUCAACUCCAGAACUGCCCUUGAUACUGGCGAUCUCGAGUUCGGGAGAGGUGAGUGGAACUGCGAGUGUAGAGGUGAAAUUCGUAGAUAUUCGCAAGAACACCAGUGGCGAAGGCGGCUCACUGGCCCGAUACUGACGCUGAGGUGCGAAAGCGUGGGGAGCAAACAGG